GGAUGUGAGGGCUAUCUGGCUGCGACAUCUGUCACCCUACUGAUCACCAGGGUUGAUUUGGCUGAUCUGGCUGGCUAGGCGGGUGUCCCCUUCCUCCCUCACCGUUCCAUGUGCGUCCCUCCCAAAGCUGCGUGCUCGGUCGAAGAGGAUGACCUUCCCCAAUAGAUGAGGACGGUUCUUCGGUCAAGGGUAUACGAGUAGCUGCGCUCCCCUGCUAGAACCUCCAAACAAGCUCUCGAAAUAAAACUGAACAGCUGAAUUCCCAACAGAAAUAAUGGAAGCCUGCUAGACAAGCCCCUAAAUGGCCUUGGCAACCCAGCUCUUCUUCUCUUUCUUGCU
rnacentral:snRNA from 1 species